CAUGCAUAUACACGAGUGUUGUGGGAAUUAAUGAGAUUACUCUGACGAUGUGUCUGCCUUCCUUCUUGGAAUAGAUGACGAAAUAUAUAAACCGCACACACUGAUACAGAACUCAUAGGGGGAAAAAGGGCCAUCGAAAUAAGAUACAUAAGACAUCAUCAUAAGCCAAAAACUCCCACCCAACCAACACGAAGAAAACAAGGGGUGGGGGAAAUAAAAAUAAAAUAGGUAGACAUUCAAAUAAAGAUAUCAUCAUCUGGAGAGCCGGCACCAGGCCAAGAAAAAGGGCCCCCUCAGUACCCAAAAUCAAUAAAACCUCGAUACAGCCAGUCCCUUAGAACAAAGAACUUUUCCCAUCAUGAUCCUCAUCCCUACUCUGUUUGCGCGCUUCCAUCACUCCAGCCUCAACCUCAACCACGACCCCUCUCUUCCUCUCCAUCCCGAACUCCAUCCACCACCCCAGCAACGACGCAACCCCCAGCGCAGCCUCAAGCACAAUCAACACACACAUAAGCGCAAACGACGCAUGUGUGUCCCUGCACAGCCGACCAAAUCCAUCCGUGGCAUCGACUGGUCUACCCUCCUCGUCAAGGCCAUCUGCAUAACCCCAUUUACACGUCCAGGUGUGGAUAGUUUCGCCAACGUUGUCGCCGUUGUUCACACGGGGGUCGGUGACGACGGUAGUGAAAGCGACGGAGACGAUGGCAGCGAUGAGGCCGCUGAGGGCCACGAUAGCUAUGAGGCUGUUUAGGAGAAUGAUACGGGCGUGAGGCUAAAGGGUUGGUUGUUUUUUAGGUUAGUUUGGUAGACAUAUGUUACACAUAUAAAAGUGACAAAAGGGGAAGGAGGAGGACGAAGGCAAUACGCACAGAUGGGAGGAAAGAAAAAAUGAGAUAGGCCAGGGUGAGCAGGGCGAUGAUGCUUCCGCAGGCAAUCAGUGCCGUUGUCGGGCGUAGAUCAAGUUUCUCAGGCCACAGGACGAGGUCCCAGUUCUUGAAAGGGUUAGUUUGUUGGUAGAAGCGGAGGGAGCGGACUUCGCAGCCGAUGACGGCCAUGGCAAUGACGAAAAUGAUGCUGGAGAUGGAGACGCGGACCCAGUGGAAUAUUUUGGCGCGGCGAAGGUAGGCGGAUUCAUCCUCAUCGGAGGCGGCUAGGGUUGUGGCAUGGGAGCCGUUGUGAGAGUCCACGAGAGAGAGUGGAGGGGUCAUUUUGGUUGGAAAAUGAUAAUGAUGACUAUGAUGGAGCGAGUUGAAUGAAUUGAAGGCAGAGAGAACGGUUCACGCCUUGCCUUUAGAGAGAGUUUUGCGUAUUGAAUAAAUGGUAGGUUGCUAAAGUGAGAAAGGUUUCCCUAUUCAAUGGGCAACCGUCACAAAGCACCGACAGAGCGAAUGAUGACCUUGCAGCAGUGUCUAUGUGACCCAGCAAGAGUACAAAUGAGCGCUUUUAUCUUUUCUCUUAAAUUGUUGAAAAAGGAGUAAGAUCUAUAGCUGGAUAGAUCAAUGAAUGAAUGGACCGAAGCAACAGGCCAAGGCACAGCCCAGACUCGCACGGCUGCCAACCGACUGGUGGUAGAAAUAAAGUAGCAACAAAACGAAAGCAAGAAACG
rnacentral:sRNA from 2 species